GCCGGAUGCACGCCAAGGUCUGAUCUACCGAGACAUGAUCAAUUGGACCGGACGGCUAAAAGACAACACGGUGGUGUUCUGUUACUAAAUGGUUUCAUGUGCCAAGGCUUGGGCAUGAGCUUUGGUUAGUUGUGAGAAGAGAAAUACAAAAAAAGCUUAUUAAGAGAAGAGACACAACAACAAGUGAAUGAAGUGUUUCAGAGGGAAGAAGUGAAUCUAUAAGAAGAAUAAGACAAAGUACUUGUCCAGCUUGUGUGGAUUUGCUCUGCCUUUGCAUCAUCACCUGCCGCACCCAUUGCAACGUGCAACGGGUACAAAUGCUCAGGCCAUGGAUGCGCCAUUCUAGGGUUCGGAGCUUUCUCUUCCCAAUCAUUCACAUCUCCAUAUCUGGAACAAACGUAAGAAAAUCAAUGAUUCUUGUAACAUUAACCACCAAUAAGAAAAGAUGUUUGUUAUUUGUAGCAAUCGUUUCAACCUUCCUUGAAGGAGAGAGUCUCUGAGCCAAAGAUCAAACUCUAAAGCCCAAGAAACCGAAGAGUCAGUAAAGACGUUAUAGCCACGCUUGCUCAAGUUAUGAGUAGCACUUCCAGAGCCAAUGAUAAGAACACCUUCCGCUUUCAGUGGAGCCAAUGACUUGCCCAUGUUGUAAUGGUAACUCCCAUUUUGAGAUGAUUGAACAGAGAGCUGGCAAACGGGUAUAUCCGCCUCUGGAUACAUCAACAUAAGAGGAAUCCAAGCUCCAUGAUCAAGUCCUCUGUUUGUAUCUUCAUCAACACGCUUCAUUCCUCCUCCUACCAUUAGCAGUUCUUUAACCCUCUUUCCCAGUUCAAUAGCUCCUGGUGCUUCGUACUUCAGCUGCAGACCACAAAUAUUGAAAACUGAUGCGUUUCUUUUCUUAAACGAUCUGCUAUAUCUGGUUAGGGUUUAGGACAAGCCCUAAGAUUGUGAGAGUGUCGGUGAGAAAGGGGAAUAGAGAGAUAGAGACCUUGUACAUGGGCUCAGGGAAACCAUUGAAGUCGUGGAUGGUUGUAUUACGGAGAACAGUGUUGACGGAUGGGAACUCGGUGUCCCAGUGUGCAGAGAUGACUAGAAUAGAUUUGGGUUUGUGUUGAAAAACUUUGUGAGACCAUGAUUUGAAGAAGUCUCUGGCCUCCAAGCUAUCGUCUAUGCUCAACCUGGGAGUUCCGUGAGAUAAGAAGAAUGUUUGGUUCAUUUUCUCCAUUGAGUCUCCCUCUCUCUCUUACUAUGUGUGUGUUCUUGUCUUCUUGAUGAUUCUUGCCUCUUUUUCACCUGAGUAUUCUCUGCCUUUCUAUUAUUAUGUGGGGAAGAAAGAUAGGGAGGGGCCACACCCACCAGACCCAACUGAGUAUACUUUACACAAUUACACAUGUGCUUUUCUGAAGUGGCACAUAAAUCAUCAAAAAGAAAGAGAGAGAGUGAAGAAAUGUUUUCGUAUGAGAACUUUUAAAGAAACCAUAAAGAAAAUGGCAUUUACAAAGGCGCAGGACAUGCAAAAGGAAAUGUUGUUUCAUCACCGUUGGAAGCGGAAUAUAAUGCACUUAUAGUAGCUAUGAAACAAUGUUGGAUACGUGGCUACAGAAAGGUGAUCUCUGAAGGUAAUAACAAGAAAAUGUUUGAUAAUUUACAGUCAAGAAAAUUGCAAUUUGGAUUGUACAAUUCGGUUAGAGAAGCAAGAUGGUGGAGCAGAAAAUUUCAGGAGGUUGAAUUCCAAUGGAUCAAAAGAACCGGAAAUGAAGUGUUGGACAAAAUGGCCAAGCUGGAUAUACCGGAAGAGGGUUUAUUUGAAUUUUAUUACUAUGUUCCUAGACCCUUAUCAUCUAUGUUACAUAACGAUUAUGUAAACUCAAUUUAAGAUAAUGCAAUUGUUGAAAAAAAAAUAAACAAUAAAGAAAAUUAUCAUUUUAUGAUUGAAAUCACUUUUUAAUUAAAACUUAAAUAUAAGUUAAUUAUAUUAAGAAACUAAUACUGUUUUGUUUGAGAACUUUAAAGUUUAAAGCAAUGGAUGUGCUCCAUUUUUUCAUACAUCAAAGGCAAUCCAAUAUAAUGUAUAUAUAAACCAAUUACAGACUUGUUUUCUUCUUGUCAUUCACAAAGUAGAUUUUGUAUUUGCAUACAAGGAAAGAUCUGGAUUAUUGUAAAUAGAUGAAAUACACAAAGCGUAUAUUAAAAGUAGAGACGGAACAAAGUGAAGGAGAUAGACAUGAAAUAUUAAUUCAAAGGGAAGAAGUGAAGCUGUAA